CCUCUAGCUGAUGAAGAACUGAUCUCUUAUCUCCUUCGAGGCCUAGGAUCUGAUUUUGAUCCAUUGGUGACAAGCAUCACCACUCGCACUGAUGCGUACACUGUCAAUGAUGUCUAUGCACAUAUGCUUGAUUUUGAGA